rnacentral:rRNA from 1 species
AGCGUAGACGGCGCAGCAAGUCUGAUGUGAAAGGCAGGGGCUUAACCCCUGGACUGCAUUGGAAACUGCUGUGCUUGAGUGCCGGAGGGGUAAGCGGAAUUCCUAGUGUGGCGGUGAAAUGCGUAGAUAUUAGGAGGAACACCAGUGGCGAAGGCGGCUUACUGGACGGUAACUGACGUUGAGGCUCGAAAGCGUGGGGAGCAAACA